UUGCUUCCAGCGGGUGAAAGUAAUUUUGUGAAAUAAAAGCAUAUUCUUGUGUUUGCAGAUGAAGGGAACAGAAAAAAAUUUAUGAGAAAAUACAUCUCAGAAUGUCUGCCAUUGAAAACUAUCAAGGAUGGAAUCGGAUAGCAAUUACAGGAUCUGAAAUCUGCAUGCAAACAGCACUGUGAUGUGAUUUUUACAGGCCAAGGUGUUCAAGUUUUACAAGCAUACUGAAGUGGCUGUGAGACAGACUUUCCUCAGCAGUGUUAUGCAGAUAAAAUCAGAGCGUUGUUGUGGAGUGGUGAUCUGCCAAGAUGUUCAAAUUCUACUAACAUACAGCAGUGUGACAGCAUAUUUCUUGAGAAAAAAAAAA
rnacentral:lncRNA from 1 species